AGGAUGAACGCUGGCGGUCUGCUUAACACAUGCAAGUCGAACGGGCGUAGCAAUACGUUAGUGGCGGACGGGUGAGUAACGCGUGAGAAUCUACCUUCAGGACGGAGACAACAGUUGGAAACGACUGCUAACCCCCGAUGUACCGAAAGGGCAAAUAUUUAUAGCCUGAAGAAGAGCUCGCGUCCGAUUAGCUAGUUGGAGAGGUAAAAGCUCACCAAGGCGACGAUCGGUAGCUGGUCUGAGAGGACGAUCAGCCACACUGGGACUGAGACACGGCCCAGACUCCUACGGGAGGCAGCAGUGGGAAUUUUCCGCAAUGGGCGAAAGCCUGACGGAGCAAGACCGCGUGGGGGAAGAAGGCUCUUGGGGUUGUAAAACCCCCGUUUUUCUCCUUGGGGAAGAACGGCAAUGACGGUACCAGAGGAAUCAGCAUCGGCUAACUCCGCGCCAGCAGCCGC
rnacentral:rRNA from 1 species